rnacentral:lncRNA from 1 species
AUUCUUCUCAAAAUAUGUUGGUGGCUUGAGCGAUGUCAUUACCAAGUGGUGAUCUAUACAGAAGGGAGCUCUGAGAAGCCAAGAUGUCUGAAGCAAGGCGCACAUCAGUGUGAGAGUCUUGAAGGAGCACAGUGGUGACAGCAUCCUGGAGGAGCAUGCCAGUGGCAGAGUCUCAGAGGAGGACAUCUGUUUCUACCCUCUUGCUGAUGAGGAUCUCCAGCAGCCUCUGGAUAUGUGGGCUGACAAGUGAGGGUCUGCUCAUCUCUCCCCAGCUGUCUGUGGGGCUUUCCCAGUUGGAGGCCCCUGGUGAGGAGGGCUCUUGUUGGGCCUCCUGCUUGGAUGAGGUGGGGAAGAACAAGGCCUUGGUGGUCUCCCACCAGCAGGAGAGGAAUGCCAUGGGACAGCUGGCGAGGCCAAGACUCCAGAUGGCUGGGAUGGCAGAUGCCCAAAAGGAGUUACCUGGAGAUGGUAGUGAGGACGGAUCACUCCUGAGGUAGGGGCAUAAGAGGAAGAAGAGCCCCAGUCUACACACCAAGGCGAGGAUGGUUUCAUCCACCCAGGAAGCGGGACUGGGGUGCCACCAAGGAGCACCCAUAUUGUUCACAAAAGAGUGAAGAUUCUUUAUCUCUUCACAAGGCUUUCACAGGAGAUAGCACUGUUACCCGCAGGUAACUGAACCCUGGGAAUGACCUGGCAGUUAGAGCCCCAGGCUCAUACCAUAGAACUGCAGCCACAUCACAAAGGGCUCUUGAGGGUGGGGGAGGGGACAGGAGGGGAGGAGGCUGGGCCAGCACCCCUCCCCUGCCACCCAGCCCCUCAGCUCUCUCCUUCCAGCCUCUUGGGCCUUCUAGACCUCAAUCAAUUUUCGGAUCAUUUCACCUGAAAGCCAGGUAUUUCCUGGUUCUGCAGGUCUCUUGGAGAUCUUGGCUUGAACCCACCUAUUUCUUAGCCUUUGAAAGUCUGAUAUUCUCUGAGGCAUUUGGCUGUUGCCCAGAGACAUAUAUAUAAACUGUCAGCAUCUCCUCUGUCCACAAUUUCAUCCUUUUCUCACCUCACCUGUUUACAGAGAAGUUGUACUUCCUCAGCAGAUUUCAAUGAUACCACACAGUAUUAUCAGCUCAUGUUGUACAUUAGAUCCCCAAACCUUCAUUUCAUAACGAAGUCUGUGUCAGGGAGCAACCGUUAGGGAGUGUCCUUAUGGCCCUGCUCAGCCACUGGUGGGCAUUGCGGUGGGCCCUUCCCCCAAGCAAGCGACAGGGAGUGACCAUGGGCCCCUCCCCCUCUCCCCUUCCCUCUGGAUAAGCGGAGCCUGAAUUGGGACUGAGGCAAGAUGGGUUUUUGAGACACAGGUCUGCCAUCUUGUCGGUCAGCCAGCUUUCCGCUUAAAGUUGCUAUUCCUUGUCCCAAAAACUCGUCUCCGAAUUUAUUCACCUGUCGAGCAGCACACACAGCAGACUUGGGUUGGGUAUGGUUUGUACCCUGUUACUGGCCUCUUAUUUCCCUCAACCUCUGCCCCUGGCAACCACCUCUCUGUUUCUGUGAGUCUGACUUUUCCUGGUAGAUUUCACAUGGAAGUGAUAAGGGGCUGUUUUUGUCUUUGUCUGGCCUAUUUCCCUUAGCAGGAUGUCCUUUAGAUUCCUCCACAUGGUUGCAAAUCUUAACUCUGUUUUUCCCAUGUGGUAAGUUUUUGACGUUCCUCAACCCAGAAAUGGAAUCUUAUUGUAUCCUGACUUAACGUUGAAUAUUUAAUUUGUGAUUGUUUCCAUCCACCUUUGCCAUCUUUACUCAGAACAACUGACACAAAAAUUCAAACAAAUGAUUUAUUACUUAAAAUUUACAAAACUCCAUAUAAUAGAAAGAUAAGUAAUUAAACAUCUAAACGAUAUGGUUUGUGUUAGUAGCAUUUAUACUUCUGAAGUUAGAAAAGCUUCACCAAGGCUUAUGGGACAUGCUGGACUCAUACAAACACACACACCUACACAUUUUGACAGACCAGUGCAGUCAUUUCAAAUCCCAAAGUUAAGCGUGUCCUCGUGUUCUUUAAAUUUUUCUGUGUGUAUGGUCUUGACCACAUUUCUUCUUACUCUGACCAGAAUGGACAGUCUCCAUUCUCCAAAGUCUAGAAACCUGUGUGGCACACCCAGAAGCUAGGGAUAGUUUAAUUGAACUCAAGUUCUAUUCUUUAGAGUGGACACUGAGGCUGGAGGCCCGGGGCCUGGGUUUGAGUCCUCUUAAGUAGCCUUUUCUGCUAUCACCAGUAUGUUCUAUGCAUAGUCUCUUCUUCAGAGUACACAGUGCCUUCCCGCCUCUACCCCUCCACACUCCCGGAGCCUCACAUCUUGCUGGUACUUUCUAGAAAGGGUACUUUGAUUCUUAUAGGAAAUUCCCUUGUGAUAUCAUUGGACAUCCCUUUUGGCAGGUGGAAUUGGGUAUUCACCUAGGGAUUGUACUUUUUAAUCACCACCUGGUGAGUUUUUCUUCAUAUAUGAACUAUUCAUUUGGCUGUACUGUCAUGAAGUUCAUGUUCAAGAACACAUCUUUGGCAUCUCCUGUUGCUUUUGAUACAAUGUCUUACCCCUUUAUGAUGUUGUCUGUGGGGUAUUACAG